AUCUACCAUCUACUGUACAUACAUGGGGUCCGUGCACGAGGGCCGCAUCUACCAGCUCAAGCUCUUGUGCGCCACAAGGACUACCCCGACAAGCCGCGCGCCCACCGUGCGAUUCCACUCCAGGAUCAACCUCACCUGCGUCAACCCCGGACACUGGCCACGUUGAAGGCAACAAGUUCCAGAUGCUCUCCAACUGGCAGCGGGAGUACACCAUGGAGCACAUCCUCACGCAGCUCAAGAAGGAGAUGGCGGCGCCGCACAACCAGCGGCGGAGCCAGGAAUUUGCGGCUGGGUAUGCCAAGUUUCAAAGCAAAUGCACAAUAUAAUGGACGAUAAGUUAUAAUGAUCAUAACAAAGCCAUAAUAGUAACCAAAAUUUAAGUUCUAAACAUGAAUAAUUAAAUAAUAUUACAGAACAGUGGUCCGAGAGGGCCACCGGUCAGAGGAGGGCCUUGGACGUCGUUGUCUUGGCCGCCGGUGCCCGGUGGGCUGGUGGUAGACACCUUCUAUUCUUCGCAACUCGCGCUAGCAGAAGAGGACGCAAGCCAUGGCCCAUGUGGGCGAGGACAUGAGGUCGCGAGGCCCGGUUGCCGAUCACCAGAGUGGGGGAGCAUCCGAGCGGAGAGCCACCGUCACGUCGAGCACCGAGCACCGACUGGACGCGACUCGCAUAGCAGGACACGAGCGGUACUCCGCAGCGUUGAGAUCACAUGAGGGACGUAAGUUUCUGCAUUUCUAGGCUUGGUUCGUGAGCUUUGGUGUAUUGAGCCAAUGAACCAUAUUUGACAGUAUAAGAGCAACUCCAAAAGACUCUCUAUAUCUUUCCUCUCAUUGCUAGGAAUAGAGAUUUUGAUGGAAAAAUACCCUACAACAGUUUAUCUAAGUGGUUAUCCAAAUGUA